GAAAUGCGAUAAGUAAUGUGAAUUGCAGAAUUCAGUGAAUCAUCGAAUCUUUGAACGCACAUUGCGCCCGCCAGUAUUCUGGCGGGCAUGCCUGUUCGAGCGUCAUUUCAACCAUCAAGCCCCCGGGCUUGUGUUGGGGACCUGCGGCUGCCGCCGGCCCCGAAAACCAGUGGCGGGCUCGCUGUCACACCGGGCGUAGUAGAUUUUUCGUCUCGCCCAGGGCGUGCUGCGGGUUCCGGCCGUUAAAAAGCCUCUCUUUUAACCCAAGGUUGACCUCGGAUCAGGUAGGAAGACCCGCUGAACUUAAGC
rnacentral:misc_RNA from 1 species